GAGUUUGAUCCUGGCUCAGGACGAACGCUGGCGGCGUGCCUAAUACAUGCAAGUAGAACGCUGAAGGAGGAGCUUGCUUCUCUGGAUGAGUUGCGAACGGGUGAGUAACGCGUAGGUAACCUGCCUGGUAGCGGGGGAUAACUAUUGGAAACGAUAGCUAAUACCGCAUAAGAGUGGAUGUUGCAUGACAUUUGCUUAAAAGGUGCACUUGCAUCACUACCAGAUGGACCUGCGUUGUAUUAGCUAGUUGGUGGGGUAAGGGCUCACCAAGGCGACGAUACAUAGCCGACCUGAGAGGGUGAUCGGCCACACUGGGACUGAGACACGGCCCAGACUCCUACGGGAGGCAGCAGUAGGGAAUCUUCGGCAAUGGACGGAAGUCUGACCGAGCAACGCCGCGUGAGUGAAGAAGGUUUUCGGAUCGUAAAGCUCUGUUGUAAGAGAAGAACGAGUGUGAGAGUGGAAAGUUCACACUGUGACGGUAUCUUAUCAGAAAGGGACGGCUAACUACGUGCCAGCAGCCGCGGUAAUACGUAGGUCCCGAGCGUUGUCCGGAUUUAUUGGGCGUAAAGCGAGCGCAGGCGGUUAGAUAAGUCUGAAGUUAAAGGCUGUGGCUUAACCGUAGUAGGCUUUGGAAACUGUUUAACUUGAGUGCAAGAGGGGAGAGUGGAAUUCCAUGUGUAGCGGUGAAAUGCGUAGAUAUAUGGAGGAACACCGGUGGCGAAAGCGGCUCUCUGGCUUGUAACUGACGCUGAGGCUCGAAAGCGUGGGGAGCAAACAGGAUUAGAUACCCUGGUAGUCCACGCUGUAAACGAUGAGUGCUAGGUGUUAGACCCUUUCCGGGGUUUAGUGCCGUAGCUAACACAUUAAGCACUCCGCCUGGGGAGUACGACCGCAAGGUUGAAACUCAAAGGAAUUGACGGGGGCCCGCACAAGCGGUGGAGCAUGUGGUUAAUUCGAAGCAACGCGAAGAACCUUACCAGGUCUUGACAUCCCUCUGACCGCUCUAGAGAUAGAGUUUUCCUCGGGACAGAGGUGACAGGUGGUGCAUGGUUGUCGUCAGCUCGUGUCGUGAGAUGUUGGGUUAAGUCCCGCAACGAGCGCAACCCCUAUUGUUAGUUGCCAUCAUUUAGUUGGGCACUCUAGCGAGACUGUCCGGUAAUAAACCGGAGGAAGGUGGGGAUGACGUCAAAUCAUCAUGCCCCUUAUGACCUGGGCUACACACGUGCUACAAUGGCUGGUACAACGAGUCGCAAGCCGGUGACGGCAAGCUAAUCUCUUAAAGCCAGUCUCAGUUCGGAUUGUAGGCUGCAACUCGCCUACAUGAAGUCGGAAUCGCUAGUAAUCGCGGAUCAGCACGCCGCGGUGAAUACGUUCCCGGGCCUUGUACACACCGCCCGUCACACCACGAGAGUUUGUAACACCCGAAGUCGGUGAGGUAACCGUAAGGAGCCAGCCGCCUAAGGUGGGAUAGAUGAUUGGGGUGAAGUCGUAACAAGGUAGCCGUAUCGGAAGGUGCGGCUGGAUCACC
rnacentral:rRNA from 1 species